rnacentral:rRNA from 1 species
CUGGCUCAGGAUGAACGCUAGCUACAGGCUUAACACAUGCAAGUCGAGGGGCAGCGGGGAUCUAGCUUGCUAGAUUGCCGGCGACCGGCGCACGGGUGAGUAACGCGUAUCCAACCUUCCCCUUAGUAGGGCAUAGCCCGUAGAAAUGCGGAUUAAUACCCUAUGUUUUCCAAUGAGGACAUCUGAGCUGGAACAAAGGUUUACCGCUAAGGGAUGGGGAUGCGUCCGAUUAGGCAGCAGGCGGGGUAACGGCCCACCUGGCCAACGAUCGGUAGGGGUUCUGAGAGGAAGGUCCCCCCACAUUGGAACUGAGACACGGUCCAAACUCCUACGGGAGGCAGCAGUGAGGAAUAUUGGUCAAUGGGCGCGAGCCUGAACCAGCCAAGUAGCGUGCAGGAUGACGGCCCUAUGGGUUGUAAACUGCUUUUAUGCGGGGAUAAAGUUCACUACGUGUAGUGUUUUGUAGGUACCUCAUGAAUAAGGACCGGCUAAUUCCGUGCCAGCAGCCGC